rnacentral:rRNA from 1 species
AGAGUUUGAUCCUGGCUCAGGACGAACGCUGGCGGCGCGCCUAACACAUGCAAGUCGAACGAGAGAGAGGGAGCUUGCUUCCUCAAUCGAGUGGCGAACGGGUGAGUAACGCGUGAGGAACCUGCCUCAAAGAGGGGGACAACAGUUGGAAACGACUGCUAAUACCGCAUAAGCCCACGGCUCGGCAUCGAGCAGAGGGAAAAGGAGCAAUCCGCUUUGAGAUGGCCUCGCGUCCGAUUAGCUAGUUGGUGAGGUAAUGGCCCACCAAGGCGACGAUCGGUAGCCGGACUGAGAGGUUGAACGGCCACAUUGGGACUGAGACACGGCCCAGACUCCUACGGGAGGCAGCAGUGGGGAAUAUUGCACAAUGGGGGAAACCCUGAUGCAGCGACGCCGCGUGGAGGAAGAAGGUCUUCGGAUUGUAAACUCCUGUUGUUGAGGAAGAUAAUGACGGUACUCAACAAGGAAGUGACGGCUAACUACGUGCCAGCAGCCGCGGUAAAACGUAGGUCACAAGCGUUGUCCGGAAUUACUGGGUGUAAAGGGAGCGCAGGCGGGCGAUCAAGUUGGAAGUGAAAUCCAUGGGCUCAACCCAUGAACUGCUUUCAAAACUGAUUGUCUUGAGCAGUGCAUAGGUAGGCGGAAUUCCCGGUGUAGCGGUGGAAUGCGUAGAUAUCGGGAGGAACACCAGUGGCGAAGGCGGCCUACUGGGCACCAACUGACGCUGAGGCUCGAAAGUGUGGGUAGCAAACAGGAUUAGAUACCCUGGUAGUCCACACCGUAAACGAUGAUUACUAGGUGUUGGAGGAUUGACCCCCUUCAGUGCCGCAGUUAACACAAUAAGUAAUCCACCUGGGGAGUACGACCGCAAGGUUGAAACUCAAAGGAAUUGACGGGGGCCCGCACAAGCAGUGGAGUAUGUGGUUUAAUUCGACGCAACGCGAAGAACCUUACCAAGUCUUGACAUCCUGCGACGAUGCUAGAAAUAGUAUUUUCCUUCGGGACGCAGAGACAGGUGGUGCAUGGUUGUCGUCAGCUCGUGUCGUGAGAUGUUGGGUUAAGUCCCGCAACGAGCGCAACCCUUAUGGUCAGUUACUACGCAAGAGGACUCUGGCCAGACUGGCGUUGACAAAACGGAGGAAGGUGGGGAUGACGUCAAAUCAUCAUGCCCUUUAUGGCUUGGGCUACACACGUACUACAAUGGCGUUAAACAAAGAGAAGCAAGACCGCGAGGUGGAGCAGAACUCAGAAACAACGUCCCAGUUCGGACUGCAGGCUGCAACUCGCCUGCACGAAGUCGGAAUUGCUAGUAAUCGUGGAUCAGCAUGCCACGGUGAAUACGUUCCCGGGCCUUGUACACACCGCC